CCCCUGGGUCUAAGGUAUUCCUUCCCCACCAGCCCAGGUUGUCACCCUCCUUUCUCAGCCACGUGAUGGGUAUGCCCGGUCUCUGAAGCAUCCACAUCUCCUAAUCUCCCUCAUAUCUGUCCCACACCAUGUGUCUAGUUUCAUGCUGAGGUGGCCCAGUGGUUUCUUCUUUGCAUACCUUGUGCCCUCCUAGACCAUCUCCCACCCCCAGACAGGUGCACCACUCCGGGAACAACUUAGAAGUCAUCACCUCAUACCUAUGAUCAUUGUCAUCUGUCUCCACAAUCCUCCAGACCAGCCGCCUAACUGGGUGGGAAGAGAAACUCCAGAUGAAAUGUUUAGACAGAAGAUCACUCAUGGCCAGAGAUAAGGAUCGAGCAUUGUAAAUCCACCCGCGUAAAUCCAGGAAACUUUACCUGGCAAGCAGGACUCUGGCUUCUGUUGGAGUUGAUCAGCUACCACUGCUGGUGGAGUCCCACAGGAUGACACUGAACCAGAGAGGCCAGAUGAGAGAAAACACACGUGGUGGGUCAUUCUGUCAUUGAGAACGCUCCUCUGAGCUAUGGCCCAGCAGUUUUAUAGACCUAUGCAGAAGCCUGCAGCGUUACCCCAAGGGAGGGCAUCAAAGCACAAAGUCCCAUCCCUCACCUGAACCAGCGGGCUGAUGAGAAAAUGCUUUGUGGGAGCCUCCGGCAAGAGAGCAAGGAUUCUGGGAGCUGCGGAGGGGGAUGAGAAAUGGCCUGUGACAGCUUCUCAUAAGACUGCCAUUUUCCGGGGGAAGAUCACGGGGUGUUCUGCCAGGACUCGGGUGACUGCGGUCAAGCCCUGACUACGUGACCUAUGUGAAGAAAAGCAAAGAGGCCAGGGCGCCACAUUGGGGCCGUUGGCCUACAAUUUAUACAUAACCACGCAGGCCUUGUAGCUUAGAAUCUUAAUUAGCAUUUUGUAGGAAAUGAGAGUCUAGGUGUGCAUGACUAGUGAAUGGAG
rnacentral:lncRNA from 1 species